GCUGUGGGGUAGAGCAGAGCAGCACAGAAGGGAGAGGGGGUCAGUGGCUGCAGUCCCUGCGUGCAGCACAGCUGGCAGAAGGCUGCCGAGUCCCAGGCUGGGAUGCGGACGAUGAGGAAGCUUUAGACCUGGGCUGGUGGGACAGAGACGGGGCCACUCUGGGUGCUGUCCUCAAGAGUGGAGAAAGGCAGUCAAGUACACUUGCCUCUCGCCAGCACCAGCCACCGUGUCGCCUUGCUGGCUUGUUUGCAGGGGAGGGACAGCUGGGAGGGUUCUGGUCAAGUGUGUGAAGACGUGACCAGUCCCCACAUCUCCAACCACUGCAGACGCUUGUUCCUGCAGGAGCGACCGCUCCACGCCUUUCUAGCUUCUGGAACCCCAGGCAUCUCUGGGCUGUUCCCUGGGGCCUUGAGAGCCACCUUUCUCGUCCUUUCCUUCGUCGUCACGGGGUCUAAAUCUGUAUCUCUCACCUGCAGCAUCUGGGCAGGACCCCCACACAUCCCGGCCUCUGCACACCAGAUUCCGGUGGUACCCCCACCCAGCUGUGACUGCCAACACCAUCCCGGACAUUGCUGAGUGGUCCCCGGGGGCAGAAGUGCCCCUGGUUGAGAGCAACUGCCCUACCGAAGGAGGUGCAAGCCAGGGAACAGAGGACCGGGCAAAAGCGGGUGCUGUUUGGAACUCAGAGGGCCUGGAGAAGGCGUUCAGGACCCCCGGGGCCUCCACUGGGGCAUCCUGAGGGCAGGCACUAGGCCACCGAAUGAACCCGCAGCUUCCCAGGUAUCCGGGGCCUGAAAGGUGUGAGGACAUUUCUGCACUGCAAAGGGUUGCUCCCAUCAUGAGUUAGUGAACAACUUUCUCAUUUAUGCGUCAGUCUCCUGUUGAGUCUGGCUAACAGGGAGUGGUCUUGGGGAGACCCAUCAGAGGCAGCGACCAGACAGGGUCCUGCAGUCCUGGGAAGCGGCACCUGCAUUGUUCCCUGGGAGGCAGCUGGUAGCCUUCGUGGGGGGCACUGACUGCAUCCCCAGAGUGCAGAGAGAUCAAUGAAGACAACACUCGAGUCAGAAAUCAAUGUUUACUGCAGAGAACACAGAAGCCAGCAAGCAGCAGGGAAGGGAGGCGUCGCAGCGAGCAUAUCGGGCAGGCUGGGAACCAGCGCAGUGGCCCACGCGGACCGAGGAGGACACACAGAGCAAGUCACAGGAAGCGCAGCUGAAAACAGACGCUUAUCCCAGAUGCACAGGACACUUACCAAAUGUCUCAGAGUCAUGCUCAACAGCUUUGGCUGGCAGGACAGUUAAAGUUUUGGACAACAGAAAGUAACAGUGGGAAAGGGGACAUCUGCCCCAACAUGAGAGGCCAAGACCACAGCUGUUACAGGAGGGGUCAGUGCCGUAGUACACGGGUGGCAGUGGCUGCACAUGCGUGCCUGGGGAAUGAGAGUGUUCGGACAUACCAGGUGCCCAGCCUGGGGAAUGAGAGUGUUCGGACAUGCCAGGUGUCCAGCCUCACCAGGAAACAGGCACACGGGGACAGAGGUGCAAACACUGAAAACUCUCGCUGAAUCCACUCGCCUGAGUGGUGGCCACGGGAGCACGGUGCUGCACUCCCCACAAACCUGAACCUGGGCCCCAGGGCGAGAGGCAUGGAAGGUGCAGGGGUGCACGGGUGUGGGUAGGGGCUGCCAGCUCAGAGGUGUGUCCAGGAACCCCCAUCAGGCCGGAGCCCUGUCCUGAGCCGCCCGCAGGGGUGACUGCGGGACAGCAGUGUUAGGCCCGGUCUUGGCUGUGAGGUCGCUCCCACUCCAUACACGACCCUGGGAUUCUGUCAAGGUGGGGGCCGUCUGCUCGGCCCGGGCUCCCUGACCAUGUGGCUGGGUUUGUGGAGGAAACCAGGAGAGUGCCAACACCAGGCUCUGUAAGCACGAGGCUCCCUGCUGGCCCCAUCCCAGAGUGCACCCCAUCCUUCCUGCAUCCCUGGGCUCAGCUGUUCCUCACUGACCUCAGAGACACCCUGCCCUGCCCCAGCUCCACAGGAGCCCUGCCCACCACUACCUCAGCUCUGAGUCUCCUCUGGGGACACGGCCUUUCUCCUGGUGCAGAGGCGCAGGACGCUGCCCCCAAGGCCCAUCUCCCUCUGCAGCAUGUUUUGAUGUCAGCUUAUUCACAGGAAAGAAACAGUCAUAUCUCAGUGCCCCAAAUGGGGACCAAUAGGAGAGGUCACUGGGAAUGAAGUCCGGGUACAGUCCGGGGUCCAUGGGCUCUCCAGAAACGCAGGCGGACCCCACCAGAGCCAACAAGCCUCAGUCGCUGAUCGGCCCCUCCCUGCUUCCCCGUGUCCAAGAGGAAACAGAGGCCCAGAUGAGGAGGGCUGGCUGGCUGCAUCCCCAGACCUCUGGUCCCAGGGCUGGCUGGCAGCGCCCCUCCCCCUGCUCACUUCCUGCUCUCCUGAGAAAUGGCUCAGGGAUGCGGCCUGUGGGGACAGAUGCUGGCAUAGCUCACAAAAUGCUUGCACAAGGGACACUCCAUGGCACGUCCCUGCAGCCGAGCAAAGUCACAACAUUUGAGGUACUCUGCACUCUGAGGCCCACAGAGCUCGGCUGGCCAAGUGAGGCUGGGAGGAUGGUGCCCGCUGGUCAGGGCAGGUGAGUGAGGCUGGGAGGAUGGUGCCCGCUGGUCAGGGCAGGUGAGUGAGGCUGGGAGGAUGGUGCCUGCUGGUCAGGGCCACCCUCUGGUCUGGGUGGCUGAGCAAGGCUGAAAGGAUAGUGCCUGCUGGUCAGGGUGGCCGCGUGAGACUGGGAGGGUGGUGCCCGCUGGUCAGGGUGGCCAAGAGAGGCUGGGAGGAUGGUGUCUGCUGGUCAGGGUGGCCCAGGAGGUGCUGUCCAGGUGGAGCCCGGGGCUGGUGUGGGUGCACCAUGCUCCUGAGAAGUUUCUGGGUUGUGGCUUUGAUGUUAUUCUGUAAUGAGAACGCUGACACUUGGCUGAAGGGUCCUCACGUCUCCCCCAGUACACUCCUGAGAUGCCAGGAAGGUUCUGAACAUUAGGGUGAUUCCUGGGACUCCCUUCAGGGUGGCCUCACUGGAGUCAGGAGCCCGUGCCCUGCGCCCACUGCCCCAUUAGGAUGGCUCUGCAGUGGCCUGAGGACAGUGAACACUGGGGUCACUGGUGGAAAGUUGCCCACUGUGAUGGUUUUGACCUCUGAAGAUGUUUGGGAGCCAAGUGAAUGCCUGGGAGCUAUUUCUAGGCAUUUCAGAGGGUGCUUCCCUGCACGUACCCUGCCGCACACCGCCCUCCCCAGGCCAGGCGCCUGCUGCACAGAAGGAGGUUCCUUUUCUUCUCUUCCGAACGCUUUUCUUCUCCUUUUCUUAAUCUCUGCUCCUCCUCUGAACUGAGGAAUGUGCGAAUCUUUUUUAGGUUGCUUCUUAUGCAUAUUUGAUCUGGAACUUCCUGCUUUGGGGGUGAUCUGCUCUACCAGCCUGAAAAGGACGAGAAAUAUCUUCUGAGUACAUAGGAAGUGUGGUUAUUACCUGGUUCCUCUGUUGGUAAAGACCACACUAUGAAAGCAAGAGAAUGGCUUGGGUUGAGUGGAAACAGGCACCUGCGGGCAAUGGAGGCCAGGGUUGGGGGCGGGGGGCCUCGAGAUCAGUGGGGGGUGUGGAAGUGGGUGUGAACCCGUGCACCCCAGGGCUGGAUGGCACCAGGUUCAUAAGGAAGUGCUUCCUGUUUUCUAAAAACGUUGAGGAAGGGGGGAGGGUGUCAGAUGUGUAAGCUGAGUGUACAUGACAUGAUCCUUUAAACCGUGCUAGAGCAAAUGCCCACUCACCCUCCAUCCGGUUUCAGAGCGAGAUGCCACCCAGGGGCCCGUGCCCUGUGCCUGCCCCUCCCUCCUGAGUUCCCUAUGAACCAUGCUUUUGCUUUUCUCUGCAGUUCGACCACGUGUCCCCAAACACCACACUGUUUAGUUUUGCUUGGUUUUGAACUUCGCGGUAGUUAAAAUAGAACCGUGUGUCUUCUGUGCCUUACAUUCUCUGCUCAGCAUUGUAUCUGACACGCACAGGUGCUGACGUGGUCCUGGCUGGCUGUGCAGUCACUGCGCCAACAGCUUCCCUUGACCAACAGACCAUGAUUUACCCGCUUCGCUACCCACAGGCAUUUGGGUUCUUUCCGGCUUUCCUGACAGUGCAUGCCGUGAAUGUUGUCGUCUCUGGCUGCGUGCACAAACGUUUCUCACGGGGAAGUAAACAGUGGCUCCUGGGGCAGCAGAAAUGCACAUCUUUGCCUUUGCCAGAAAACGCCAGGCUGCUCUCCAGACUGUGCUGCCGCCCAGUGCCACAGCAGCAGAUGAGGACUCCGGCCCGUCCCGUGCAAGGAUCAGAAUCAGACUUGGCCGUCUUUACCACACUGUGGGGCACAAACUUGCAUCUCUUUGUUGUUUUAACUUGUGUUCCCUGAUUUUUAAUGAGAUUGGGCAUGUUUUCAGGCAUUUAUGAGCCAUGGAUUUUUCUUCUUCUGUGAUGUUUGCCCAUUUUUCUUUUCUAGAGAUGGAGUCUCGUUGCAUUAUUCAGGCUGGUCCUGAGCUCCUGUUGUAGGCCAUUUUUCUAUUUAGAUAUUUGUCUUUAAAAAUCCUGGUUCCUAUGACUGCUACA